GACGAGAUUCAUCUGGAAGAUGAGAAUGUUGAUUCGUGGGCGGCCGAUGUAUAUAUUAAUGAAAUGUCCAGUAUCCUGCAAUUUCGCCUUUUUGAUCAACAAGGGAUUGAAUCACUUCAAGGGGGGAACUCCUGGGUUGAGCUUACGAGGACUGUCAUUUCAAGGACGAUCAGUCCGGAUUUGACCGAUGUCGACAGUCUCGCCACGGCCUAUUGUCUUUUUCUGGAGAAGGGCCCGUCGAGUGAGAUAAUGAACGAUGCCCCGAUAAUCCUGCAGCUAUGGGGAACAGGGGUUAUCCAUUUCAUAGCGUAGGCGAGGGUGGGUGAACGAAGUGAAUUGUUACGCUCUAACAGUGAGAGACGGGAGCUCGAGCUUAGAGAUUAGCCUCAGGCCGGACAGAGGUCAGGGGAGGAGCACAGACAGAUGGCUUCUUAAGAUUUCACUUCUAGUAACCCCCGGAUGUAGUUAGAAGGCGAACGGGGUCACCAAAGCCACGAUAAGGAAGGCUGAAAUCCAGAUCAUGCAUCGCAUCUAGAGCACGCUGGUUCGAGUCCAGC
rnacentral:lncRNA from 1 species